rnacentral:lncRNA from 1 species
CCAUUUAGACUUUGACUAGAAUAGUAAACAAUGACAUUUUACUAUUUAGCUUGUGGACAUCAUGCUAGUGAUACCUUGGUACAUUCAUGUUAGAAUAGUCCUUUUUAUUACUUAUGCAAUUCAUGCUAAGUAGAGAUAUCAUGUUGUAGUAAGUUACAUGUUUACUCACAUAUCGAUUCUAUUGCUUUUAUUGUUACUUACCUGUUUAGCUCUUUUGGGCCUAGUGGUGCUUUCACUGAAGUUAGUAAUUGCCCACUGGGAACUAUUAUUUAAUAGUUCUCAUGCCCC